GCUUGCUCCUGAUGGCGAGUGGCGAACGGGUGAGUAAUWUAUCGGAACGUGCCCUAGAGUGGGGGAUAACUAGUCGAAAGAUUAGCUAAUACCGCAUACGAUCUAAGGAUGAAAGUGGGGGAUCGCAAGACCUCAUGCUCGUGGAGCGGCCGAUAUCUGAUUAGCUAGUUGGUGGGGUAAAAGCUCACCAAGGCGACGAUCAGUAGCUGGUCUGAGAGGACGACCAGCCACACUGGAACUGAGACACGGUCCAGACUCCUACGGGAGGCAGCAGUGGGGAAUUUUGGACAAUGGGGGCAACCCUGAUCCAGCAAUGCCGCGUGAGUGAAGAAGGCCUUCGGGUUGUAAAGCUCUUUUGUCAGGGAAGAAACGGUGAGAGCUAAUAUCUUUUGCUAAUGACGGUACCUGAAGAAUAAGCACCGGCUAACUACGUGCCAGCAGCCGCGGUAAUACGUAGGGUGCAAGCGUUAAUCGGAAUUACUGGGCGUAAAGCGUGCGCAGGCGGUUGUGUAAGACAGAUGUGAAAUCCCCGGGCUCAACCUGGGAAUUGCAUUUGUGACUGCACGGCUAGAGUGUGUCAGAGGGGGGUAGAAUUCCACGUGUAGCAGUGAAAUGCGUAGAUAUGUGGAGGAAUACCGAUGGCGAAGGCAGCCCCCUGGGAUAACACUGACGCUCAUGCACGAAAGCGUGGGGAGCAAACAGGAUUAGAUACCCUGGUAGUCCACGCCCUAAACGAUGUCUACUAGUUGUCGGGUCUUAAUUGACUUGGUAACGCAGCUAACGCGUGAAGUAGACCGCCU
rnacentral:rRNA from 1 species